GGCGGCAUCGACAAGUGGUCUAAGUCACCAGCCUUUCACGCUGGAGUCACGGGUUCGAAUCCCGUUGCCGUCACCA
rnacentral:tRNA from 1 species